rnacentral:rRNA from 1 species
AUUGAACGCUGGCGGCAGGCCUAACACAUGCAAGUCGAGCGGAUGAAGGGAGCUUGCUCCUGGAUUCAGCGGCGGACGGGUGAGUAAUGCCUAGGAAUCUGCCUGGUAGUGGGGGAUAACGUCCGGAAACGGGCGCUAAUACCGCAUACGUCCUGAGGGAGGAAGUGGGGGAUCUUCGGACCUCACGCUAUUAGAUGAGCCUAGGUCGGAUUAGCUAGUUGGUGGGGUAAAGGCCUACCAAGGCGACGAUCCGUAACUGGUCUGAGAGGAUGAUCAGUCACACUGGAACUGAGACACGGUCCAGACUCCUACGGGAGGCAGCAGUGGGGAAUAUUGGACAAUGGGCGAAAGCCUGAUCCAGCCAUGCCGCGUGUGUGAAGAAGGUCUUCGGAUUGUAAAGCACUUUAAGUUGGGAGGAAGGGCAGUAAGUUAAUACCUUGCUGUUUUGACGUUACCAACAGAAUAAGCACCGGCUAACUUCGUG